CUUUGACGGUCACCUCUUUUGUGUGUGUGUGUGUGUGUGUGUGUGGGAGGGGAAGUCCUUAUAGUUUAUGGAGCCCUCACUUCCGGUAUCUAAAGCGUGUCCGCGUGGUGGAGAUUGAAGAGUUGCGUGUGCUGCAGUGGUCUCAUGGAGCAACGUGGGAUAAAGAAAAUGAGGUAGGAUUUGAAAGCCUGAUUAUUCACACCAUGAGGAUGGCUGAGGUGCCUGAACAUGCUGCGGAUGCUCAUGUUAAACACAGGUGGAUGAUGAAGAGCGGAUGGAAGCGACUGCUGCGUUCGAACACCAUUUACAUUCACAUUUAAUGACUUUAGCAGAGCAUUUUAUUUGAUUAUGGGUGAAGUAUAGGUUUGCUCACACAGUACAAAAAUAAAAUGAACUCUAAAGAGGAGGAAAAAUGGAAAGAUUUUGUACAAAAAUGUAAAAUUCAUUUGAAUUUCAUAUUUACAGUCCAUUUGUAAUUUUUAAAAUAUAAAAAAAAAAGUGUACUGUGACUCACUAUCAUAUUAGAUGGUCAUAUCGCCCAGCCUCGCUCUCGGGAUUCCGGUUAAUAGUACGCACUUCUGUAGGAACAAUGUUAGCAAAAGUAACACGAGGACCUGAAGCUGUUUUUAAAAAUGAUUAAGUCUUUAUUGGUUCAGAAAUAAUCAUGUGAAGCUGGGUUUACUCUGUAUGAUUUUGCCGGUUUUAAAAAAAAUCGCACGUUGUCAAUUAUUUGGUCGUGAGCUGAGCUCUGUGACUAACACAGCGUAAUGCAUUCAAGUUGUGUGAAAUGUGUCCAAUGUGUGAGCGGUUUCUAAUUUCAAUCUUUAGAAUGAGCGCUCAUGCUAUAACUCUAGACUAAAAUCCAACAAUAGGAGGACGGCAAACUCAUGGCACAGCUAUGAAUACAGUCACGGCGAUAGAGAAAAUCAUAACAUGCUAACGGACAUUGUAAUGGCCUUAUUAACUCAUGCUCAUGUCAUGUUUGUGAGUAGGUUUUCUGCACAGGAUGAUUUCUGGGAGGUUGGUGACGUAAGAACGUGGUAAUUUUCUUUAAUCGCAGGUCUGCCGUUAGAAGAUCUUCAUUAGAAGAUCCACAAAAAUGUUAUAGAACUCAGCCCAGAUUUUAUUGGAAUCUUGUACAGUUAUCUUGUGAAGGAGGAUGAUGACUGUAGAGCGCUGGAGUCACACCAUCUGAAACCGACUUUAUAACGUUUGAAACACUGUCCGGUUUGGUUUUUACUAUGCAUGUGAGUUUUAUCUCUUCUAUGUCACUUAUGUGUUAACUUUGAAUGUUUUUUUUUCUUUUCGCCUCCCCUGUGAUUUCAAAUAAAGCUUGCUCUUCCAGUG